rnacentral:rRNA from 1 species
CCCGCUUUUCGGCGUGCUUACACAUCCAAGUAUUUGCGAGAAAGCUACCUUCGGGUAGUGAGUAGAGCGGCGGACGGGUGAGUAACUCGUGAACAACCUGUCCACGAAUUUGGGAUAACCUGACGAAAGUGGGGCUAAUCCCGGAUAAGCUGUAGGCAGCGCAAGCAGUUUACAGCAAAGCCGGAAUUAUAUUCUGGUGUUUGUGGAGGGAUUCGCGUCGGAUUAGCCAGCUGGUGGGAUGAGAGCCUACCAGGGNCGACGAUCCGUAGCUGGUCUGAGAGGACGAUCAGCCACACUGGGACUGAGACACGGCCCAGACUCCUACGGGAGGCAGCAGUGGGGAAUCUUUCGCAAUGGAGGCAACUCUGACGAAGCAACGCCGCGUGAGUGAAGAAGGCCUUCGGGUUGUAAAACUCUGUCUCCGGGGAAGAACCACAGCAUAUUAACUGUAUGCUGUCUGACGGUACCUGUAGAGGAAGCACUGGCUAACUACGUGCCAGCAGCCGCGGUAACACGUAGAGUGCAAGCGUUGUCCGGAAUCAUUGGGCGUAAAGGGUACGCAGGCGGAUAGGCAAGUCAAAUGUGAAAGGUGUCGGCUUAACCGGCAGACUGCGUUUGAAACUGUUUAUCUUGAGUGCAGUAGAGGAGAGCGGAAUUCCUAGUGUAGCGGUGAAAAUGCGUAGAUAUUAGGAAGAAUACCAGUGGCGAAGGCGGCUCUCUGGAACUGC